GGCUCUAUAGUGUAGUGGUUAUCACCUCGGAUUCUGAGCUCGUUUCAUAAUUCCGGUAACGCCGGUUCGACUCCGGCUAGGGCCU
rnacentral:tRNA from 1 species